rnacentral:tRNA from 1 species
UCAGUUCUAAUUUAAGUAAAAAUAUGAAUUUGUGGCAUUCAAAAUAGGUGUACGCCUGAAUUGAU